GAUGAACGCUGGCGGCGUGCCUAAUACAUGCAAGUCGAGCGAAAGGAUUAAGAGCUUGCUCUUAUGAAUUUAGCGGCGGACGGGUGAGUAACACGUGGGUAACCUUCCCAUAAGACUGGGAUAACUCAGGGAAACCUGGUCUAAUACCGGAUAACAUUUUGCACAGCAUGGUUCGACAUAGAAUUGCAGCUCCGGCAGUUACUUAUCGAUAGACCCGCGUCGCAUUAGCUAGUUGGUGAGGUAACGGCUCACAAAGGCAACGAUGCGUAGCCGACCUGGGAGGGUGAUCGGCCACACUGGGACUGAGACACGGUCCAGACUCCUACGGGAGGCAGCAGUGGGGAAUCUUGCACAAUGGGCGAAAGCCUGCUGCAGCGACGCCGCGUGGAGGAUGAAGGUUUUCGGAUUGUAAACUCCUGUUAAGUGGGAAGAAAGAUUCAUACCUAAUACGUAUGGAGGAUGACGGUACCACUAGAGAAAGCACCGGCAAACUUCGUGCCAGCAGCCGCCGUAA
rnacentral:rRNA from 1 species